GGAGGGCGAAGUGAGUGCCCGUCUUUUCCGGGGGUGUGUGAGUCUUUUCCACGUCGCUCACCCUUCCCGAACUUCUUGGCUCUGCUCUUAGGGCCCGCGAGUAACCAGCGGUUGACUUAGGAGAGAAGUCGCGGCGGAGAGCGGCGGUUUGAGGGCGAGUGCCGGGCUUUGCGUUACCGUAUGCGCAACCUCGUCACGUUUGGGGCGAUUUGCGCCUUUCAGGUUUGGAGAAGGGCUGGAGUCGAACAUCGCCGGGUUGAAGGGUAUUCUACCAGGAACAGUUCUUCCCAAGAUUCUGCAUAUCUCCAGAGUCUGUACAUCUCCAGAAGCAAGAAGGAAAAUGACCAUGUUCAAGGUGAGUAGGGCUUGUCUUUCUUGCUGCUAAAAUCCCAUUGGACACACAUU
rnacentral:lncRNA from 1 species